AAAUAGGUAUUAAACCUUGAAUCAAAGAGACCGGAAGUCUCUUCUUCGAAGAAUUGAAGAAAGGCUACUUCGCUGCUUACUUCGCUGUGCACUGCCGCUACCCGCCGCCGGUCAUCGUCCGCCGUCGGCCGCCGUACGUCGCCGACCACCGUCUGUCGUCGGCCCCCGUUGCAGUUCCGACCGGUGACCAGCGGAUCUGGAUCGCCUCUUCAAGCGACUGCCAACCCCGUCGGAGUCACGACCAAACUCUGCCUAACGCGCCUCUAUGCGUCGCCUUCCCGUGGUCGGCAUCAAACUGCGCCACUGUCGGUCGUCUCGCCGGUUCUUCCUCUCUGUUCUGCCCCAACCUAGGCACCGUGAAAACGCGCCGAGACCGAACCACGAUCCUCACAACCAGUCAUCCUCACCGCAGCACCACCAGAAAUAGACAUUGCCGUCGCAGGUGAGACUACCACGAGAUCGCGCGCCGACCAGCCGCCGUGCCGUCGAGAAGCAGCCGAGAAGACGCUGCCACUGGCGCGCUGGCACCCUCCGUCGCUCUUCCUUCUUCAUCGUGUAGCAGCCUUCAACGAGCUUCUUUGUUGCCAGUCCUCUUCCUUCUUCCACGCACCACCGACACCUUAAAGCACGGUUUGGCUCCUUUUGGCAUUCUUAUUGACUGCUAGUUGAAUCAAAGUGACCGAAAGUCUCUUUUUCGAAUAAUUGAAGAAAGGCUACUUCCCUGCUUAUUCCGUUGUACACCGCCGCUACCCUUUGCCAGUCAUUGUCCGUCGUCGGCCGUCGUACGUCGUCGGCCACCGUCUGUCUUCGGCCACCGUCGCAGUUCCGACCGUUGACCAGCGGAUCUGGAUUGCCUCUUCAAGCGACGGCCAACCCUGCCGGAGUCAGGACUAGACUUCGCUCAACACGCCUCCAUGCGUCGCCUUCCCGGCGUCGCCAUAAAACCGCGCCACUGGCGAUCGUCUCAUCGGACCUUCCUCUCUCUGUUCCGACCCAACCUAGGCACCGUGAAAACGCGCCGACACCGGAACACUAUCCUCACAACUAGUCAUCCUCACCGCCUCACCACCAGAAAUCGACAUUGCCGUCGUAGGAGAGACUACCACGAGGUCACGCACCGACCAACCACCGUGCCUUCGUGAAGCCGCCGAGAAGAUGUUGCCACUGUCGCGCUGGAAGCCCUCCGUCACUCUCUUCCUUCUUCCACGCACCAUCGCAACCUUCAACGCCUCACCACGGUUUGGCUCCUUUUGGCAUUCUUAUUGAUUGCUAGUUGAAUCAAAGAGACCGAAAGUCUCUUCGAAGAAUCGAAGAAAGGAUACUUUGCUGCUUACUUCGCUGUGCACCGCCGCUACCCGCCGCCGGUCAUCGUCCGCCGUCGGCCGCCGUACGUCGCCGAACACCAUCUGUCGCAGGCCACCAUCGCAGUUCCGACCGGAUUGCCUCUUCAAGCGACGGCCAACCCUGCCGGAGUCAGGGCUAGACUUCGCUCAAAACGCCUCUAUGCGCCGCCUUCCCGGCGUCGACAUCAAACCGCGCCACUGCCGGUCAUGUCACCGGUCCUUCCUCUCUCUGUUCUGACCCAACCUAGGCACUGUGAAAAUGCGCCGACACCGGACCACGAUCCUCACAACUAGUCAACCUCACCGCCGCUCCACUAGAAACCGACAUCGCCGUCGCAGGAGAGACUACCACGAGGUCGCGCGCCGACCAGCCACCGUACCGUCGUGAAGCUGCCGAGAAGACGCUGCCACUGUCGCGCAGGAAGCCCUCUGUCACUCUCUUCCUUCUUCAUCGUGUAACAGCCAUCAGCGA
rnacentral:lncRNA from 1 species